AGCGAACGCUGGCGGCAGGCCUAACACAUGCAAGUCGAACGGAUCCUUCGGGAUUAGUGGCGGACGGGUGAGUAACACGUGGGAACGUGCCCUUUGGUUCGGAACAACUCAGGGAAACUUGAGCUAAUACCGGAUGUGCCCUUCGGGGGAAAGAUUUAUCGCCAUUGGAGCGGCCCGCGUCUGAUUAGCUAGUUGGUGAGGUAAGGGCUCACCAAGGCGACGAUCAGUAGCUGGUCUGAGAGGAUGAUCAGCCACAUUGGGACUGAGACACGGCCCAAACUCCUACGGGAGGCAGCAGUGGGGAAUCUUGCGCAGUGGGCGAAAGCCUGACGCAGCCAUGCCGCGUGAAUGAUGAAGGUCUUAGGAUUGUAAAAUUCUUUCACCGGGGACGAUAAUGACGGUACCCGGAGAAGAAGCCCCGGCUAACUUCGUGCCAGCCGCCGCUGUAAAAC
rnacentral:rRNA from 1 species